rnacentral:tRNA from 2 species
GCCCGCAUUCUCGCAGGUGGCGGACAGCCAAGGUCGAACUUGUAAAGCGAAGGUCGUCGGUUCGAACCCGACAGUCGGCUCCA